GAGGGGUGGGACAGCCUAGCCCAGAAUCCAUUUCUUGCCUUUUACCAGAGAUGGCCGUGGGCUGCCCACAAUACCCCUCUCAUCAAUCUUUGGAAUCGUAUCCAUCGACACAGU
rnacentral:snRNA from 1 species